rnacentral:rRNA from 1 species
GUCUGCAUGUGAGUUAUGUGCAGUCUGGCCUGCCCACUGGAGUUUUAAAGGGCCGCGGUAUAUUGACCGUGCGAAGGUAGCAUAAUCAAUAGUGUUUUAAUUGGAGACUGGAAUGAACGGUCGGACAAGGGGUUUACUGUCUCUGUGAUGGAUCUUGAAGUUUACUUUUAAGUGAAAAGGCUUAAAUAAUGUAAAGGGACGAUAAGACCCUAUAAAACUUGACAAACUAUGUAAUCAGGUGUAGGAAUUAAUCAGUGUAAAUUUGAUGGUUUAGUAGUUGUUUUGUUGGGGCGACAGGGAUAAAAUAGUCAGUAACUGUCUUUAUGUCAAAAUAAUAAUAAUUAGUUUAUUUGAUCCUUUAUUAAGGAUUAGGAGAUUAAGUUACUUUAGGGAUAACAGCGUGAUUUCUCUUGAGAGUUCUAAUCGACAGAGUUAGUUGCGACCUCGAUGUUGAAUUAAGGUGUUAUUCAGGCGCAGGAGUCUGAAGAGUAGGUCUGUUCGACCUUUAAAAUCUUACAUGAUUUGAGUUCAAACCGGCGUGAG